ACAGCAGCCGGCAGCAGCUUAACAACUACAAGUGUGCUAAUUGGCAGCUGCGACCGAAGGCCCGCCCCCACAAUAUCAUGCAGGUCCAUCCACACAUGUGGUGCCACAACGGAAAUGCAGUCUGGGUGUGUCUUAACGGCCAAUACAGAUCACAACACCAUGUUGACGCAUGUCGGAGGUAUCAGCUGUCCCACCAAUGCAACUCCUUGACAGCCCGCAGCCAUUGUCACCACAUUUGCCACACCUGUCUUGGGAACCCAUUCUUCACCCAACUCAGUCAGGCCAAGUGCAGGAACCUGACAAUGAAGAUACAUUAACUUUAAAUCUCACAGUAAUACCACCACCUGACCCGACAACUACACAUUUGUCUACUCCACCCACUCAAAGGACACCACAACAGGACAUAAGCCCUACCACACCACUACCACAGUCUCAGGAACAGGUUUUAUGGGACAGCUGGUCCACCCAGCAAGCCAAUAAUUAGAUUGUUUGCGUAGGCAAACCCAAUUUAUUGCUAGUCUGGCCCAUCAUGUCCCAAGAUUAUGCAGAAGCAACACCAGACAAACCACAGAACUCAUCAGAAUGGCUAACACCCUGGAAUUAAUGAGGACAAACAAUAAUAGGAUGCUAGACACAUACCAACAAAUUAUGGAUGAGAAUGACAGGCUCCAUCAAUCAUACCUGCAGAUAUUAACUGCAACACAAAAAACAGACGAGAACAUGGUCAGAAUAAUGGAAACCCACAUGACAGCCACACACGACAGCACCUAGAGACUUGAAUGUCACUCUAAUUACCCUAACCCAGUAUCUCAAUCAAUCUGAGCAAACAAGUACCAGCUCAACAGCCACAACCCCUUUAGUGUCACCUGUAACCUCACCACCAACACGUUCUGGAUGAACACGACCAGACACAAGUGGGAAAGGCCCAUCCAGAUCCAGAGGAUGACCUGCAAAAUUAUUGUUCAUAAUCAUGUGUUGAAAUGGACAUUGGUAAUUCUAUGUAAGUAGCAUUUUACAUGUUCUUUACAAAAUUAAGGAAAUGGUUUAUGAUUUGAAAACAAAUGUUACUAAUUAACAUAUCCAAAACUAAAACC